AUUUUCCUCCAUGGUGUUUCAACUGGAACUGUUUUUCUUAAUGGUUGCAGAUGCCUCUGGAAGGGAGAGACGCUGUGGUGAGGCACCUUCGAGCAAAGUUCCAACAGAACAGGAAAGAACCUCCCAAAGUGGGUGGCUGGCCAGAGACUCACCCUGCAGCCUCUCAAGGACCAGAGCAAGGACAGACCUCUGCCAUGGCCUCCAAGGGUGAUCUUCCUCAGGAGGCCCCCUGGAGCAGGAGGGACUGCAGCAGGGCCUCUCCACCUCACAGUACAGGUCAGAGCUUGGGACAGCAUUCACCUCAUUCUGCCUGCGAGACCCCGGCACGAGUGGUGUGUCGGAAGAAGGGGAUGGCUCCAGGUGCCAACUUCCACCCAAAGUUGGUGCCUGCAAAGCCAGGAGAUGUGUUGAACAAGAAGAUGGAAGCCAACUCUGAUCCUCCCCACAGGAAGCCAGCCCAGCAGACACGGCCACCUGCCAAAGACAAGGGGGCUCCACUGGUUCUUGCCAAAGGCGCGGCUGCUGCAGCCCCUGUGCUUGCUGUGGGAAACUCCCAAAGGAUGGAGCACCCAGCUGUGCCCCGGAGGAAGCCUUUGCCACAUGUCAGGGCACUGGGAGUGAAGCCAGGCAAGCCCCAGCGCCCUCCUAAUGUGGAUUUGGCAAAGUUCAGAGCAGCUGCAAAUCCUGGGACAUCCAUCUGUCCUGCCAAAGAACCACCAAGAAGUGAUCAGCUGGGUCACCUGCAGCCAGGCUGUGCUGCAUCAGUGCCUGCACGGUUCCCACUGCAGGAUGCUCUGAGUGGCACGGGGUAAGGACUGAGGCAG
rnacentral:lncRNA from 1 species